rnacentral:rRNA from 1 species
AGUGAACGCUGGCGGUAGGCCUAACACAUGCAAGUCGAACGGCAGCACAGUAAGAGCUUGCUCUUACGGGUGGCGAGUGGCGGACGGGUGAGGAAUACAUCGGAAUCUACUUUUUCGUGGGGGAUAACGUAGGGAAACUUACGCUAAUACCGCAUACGACCUACGGGUGAAAGCAGGGGAUCUUCGGACCUUGCGCGAUUGAAUGAGCCGAUGUCGGAUUAGCUAGUUGGCGGGGUAAAGGCCCACCAAGGCGGCGAUCCGUAGCUGGUCUGAGAGGAUGGUCAGCCACACUGGAACUGAGACACGGUACAGACUCCUACGGGAGGCAGCAGUGGGGAAUAUUGGACAAUGGGCGCAAGCCUGAUCCAGCCAUACCGCGUGGGUGAAGAAGGCCUUCGGGUUGUAAAGCCUUUUUGUUGGGAAAGAAAAGCAGCAGGUUAAUACCCCGCUGUUCUGACGGUACCCAAAGAAUAAGCACCGGCUAACUUCGUG